UCUCUCUCUCUCUCUCUCUCUCUCUCUGUUUCUUGGGUACUACUCUGCUUCGAGUUGUUUCUUGAGAAUUUGAAUUGACUUUGAUUUUAGAAAUACCCAUCAUCUUCUUAGCUCAGAAUCAAAGAAUUUCGAUAGUAUUCAAUCUACAAAAGCAAGGGGUGGCUUAUACGAUAAGUACAGUUAGUAGCAUUUUUAUUGUCGUCCAAAUUGGAUUGAAAUAACGUAAAUUCAGAUAAAAAAGAAGUUUGGGCGGCACAAUUAAUGGCUCCUAAGACAGGAAAAUCAAAGCCUCACAACAAAGCCAAGGGAGAGAAGAAGAAGAAGGAAGAGAAAGUUUUGCCGACAGUAAUUGAAAUUACCGUAGAAACCCCGGACGAAUCGCAAUUGACACUUAAGUCCUGUUUGAUAACAGUGAUAGAUGGAUGAGAUUCGUAAGGAGAUGAGAUUAGAAUUGAAAUUGGUAAUGAAAAGGGAUUGUUAAUGAGUAUGUUUGUUUGGGAGGAGAUUAGAUGAUGAGAUUAUUAAUAGUAUCAUGUUUGUUUGAAAUGAGAUUAGAUUAUGAGAUUGAAUUGA